UGGACAUUUCAGUCCGUGUGUUUCCCUGACAGAAUGCUAUCAUGGGAGCGACUCAAGUAAACAUUUCUGGAGGGUCAAAGAAAUCAGGCAUCAUCAAUGUUUAUUACUAUAGAUGUUAUGAAUUUCAUCUCUGCUCCCACUUCCUACAAGUUAAAAACACAGACUGCAGAAGCUAUUAGGCCUUAUACUGGAGAAUAAGGAUGAAAAGUGGAAUGAGAAAUACUUCCUACUCUCUUGUGGCUCACAGUAGGUAUAGUCACUACAGAAGAUGUACAUGGCAUGAGUGGGGAGAAGUCAAGGAAACCUUGAACAGAGGAGACCUAUGAAUGGCAGCGUCAGGUGAUGAAGUCAGACAGUUUCAGAUUAGAACAGCCCAAUCAUUAGCCAUGAGACAUCCAGCAAAUUCUGAACCGACUUUCCUGCUUCCAUCCUUUUCUCUGUUCCUUUCUUUCAUAUUAAAAAUUCUAUUCUUAUGCAUAUAUUUGCAUAGUAUAGCUUAUUUUUUAAUUAUGGGUGUACUCAAUAAAAAAUCAAUUUCAUGAAAACAGCUGUAAAACCCAGAAAAUCCCC